rnacentral:rRNA from 1 species
CCUACGGGUGGCAGCAGUGGGGGAUAUUGCACAAUGGGGGAAACCCUGAUGCAGCGACGCCGCGUGUGGGAAGACGGUCCUCUGGAUUGUAAACCACUGUUCCCAGGGACGAAGAUGACGGUACCUGGGGAGGAAGCUCCGGCAAACUACGUGCCAGCAGCCGCGGUAAUACGUAGGGUGCGAGCGUUGUCCGGAAUUACUGGGUGUAAGGGGAGCGUAGGCGGGGAUGCAAGUUGGGUGUAAAAACUACCGGCUCAACUGGUAGUCGCACUCGAAACUGCAGCUCUUGAGUGAAGUAGAGGCAGGCGGAAUGCCUGGUGUAGCGGUGAAAUGCGUAGAUAUUAGGAGGAACACCAGUGGCGAAGGCAGCCUGCUGGGCUUUUACUGACGCUGAGGCUCGAAAGUGUGGGGAGCAAACAGGAUUAGAUACCCUUGUAGUC